rnacentral:rRNA from 1 species
AGUGAACGCUGGCGGUAGGCCUAACACAUGCAAGUCGAACGGCAGCACAGUAAGAGCUUGCUCUUACGGGUGGCGAGUGGCGGACGGGUGAGGAAUACAUCGGAAUCUACUUUUUCGUGGGGGAUAACGUAGGGAAACUUACGCUAAUACCGCAUACGACCUACGGGUGAAAGCAGGGGAUCUUCGGACCUUGCGCGAUUGAAUGAGCCGAUGUCGGAUUAGCUAGUUGGCGGGGUAAAGGCCCACCAAGGCGACGAUCCGUAGCUGGUCUGAGAGGAUGAACAGCCAAACUGGAACUGAGAAACGGUCCAGACUCCUACGGGAGGCAGCAGUGGGGAAUAUUGGAAAAUGGGCGAAAGCCUGAUCCAGCCAUACCGGGUGGGUGAAGAAGGCCUUCGGGUUGUAAAGCCCUUUUGUUGGGAAAAAAAAGCAGCAGGUUAAUACCCCGCUGUUCUGACGGUACCCAAAAAAUAAGCACCGGCUAACUUCGU